rnacentral:rRNA from 1 species
GACAGAGGGUGCGAACGUUGUUCGGAAUUACUGGGCGUAAAGCGCGUGUAGGCGGCUCGAUAAGUCGGAUGUGAAAGCCCUGGGCUCAACCUAGGAAGUGCAUUCGAAACUGCUGAGCUUGAGUUCUGGAGAGGAAGGCGGAAUUCUCGGUGUAGAGGUGAAAUUCGUAGAUAUCGAGAGGAACACCGGUGGCGAAGGCGGCCUUCUGGACAGCAACUGACGCUGAGACGCGAAAGCUAGGGGAGCAAACAGG